AUGUCGCUGGUGAAAGGUAACCCAUCCAAACUGUGUUACAGAGCGCGGGGCCGGUGGAGAGGAAAGCUGGAGGCAUGGGUGGUUGGCAGGAAGUGGGACUGGUGCCUGGCAGAUGCGGUGGUGAAGAUAGGUACUGAUUUUGGAUUAGGAAUUGUUUUCUCACUUACCUUCUUUAAAAGAAGAAUGUGGCCAUUAGCCUUCAGUUCUGGCACGGGAUUAGGAAUGGCUUACUCCAACUGUCAGCAUGAUUUCCAGGCUCCAUAUCUUCUACAUGGAAAAUAUGUCAACAAGCAGGAGCAGUGACUUCACUUGAGAACAUCCCAGUGGGAGGACAGGAGAAAUCAUGUUUACUCCUCAGGAAUACUGAAGUGCCCUGGAGUAAGCUGUCAUUCUUCUGUAACAAUGUUAUCAGCAAUGCUUUAAACUCCAGCACCUGGUUAUGUAUUUGAAAUCAAGUCUGUUUCUUGUUUUGUAUUUUCUCUCUGGAAAUUGUAGGGAGGUGGUCUUCAAUAAAUUAAACAAAAA